rnacentral:rRNA from 1 species
UCAUGCAGGUUAUUGGAAGAAGUACCCAUUCUUAUUUGAUCUUGGAGGUUAAGCAUGGUUGGGCCUGGAUAGAACUUGGAUGAGAGACUACCUGGAAAUUACAGGCAGCAAGAG